CUACGGGUCGCUGCAGUGAGGAAUAUUGCACAAUGGGGGGAACCCUGAUGCAGCAACGCCGCGUGGAGGAUGACGCAUUUCGGUGUGUAAACUCCUUUUAUAUGUCAAGAAAAUGACGGUAGCAUAUGAAUAAGCACCGGCUAACUCCGUGCCAGCAGCCGCGGUAAUACGGAGGGUGCAAGCGUUACUCGGAAUCACUGGGCGUAAAGGACGCGUAGGCGGGUUGGAAAGUCAGGCGUGAAAUCCUACAGCUUAACUGUAGAACUGCACUUGAAACUUCCAAUCUAGAGUAUGGGAGGGGGAGAUGGAAUUAGUGGUGUAGGGGUAAAAUCCGUAGAUAUCACUAGGAAUACCUAAAGCGAAGGCGAUCUCCUGGAACAUUACUGACGCUAAGGCGUGAAAGCGUGGGGAGCAAACAGGAUUAGAUACCCCGGUAGUC
rnacentral:rRNA from 1 species